UACGUAGGUGGCAAGCGUUAUCCGGAUUUAUUGGGCGUAAAGGGAACGCUGGCGGUCUUUUAAGUCUGAUGUGAAAGCCUUCGGCUUAACCGGAGUAGUGCAUUGGAAACUGGGAGACUUGAGUGCAGAAGAGGAGAGUGGAACUCCAUGUGUAGCGGUGGAAUGCGUAGAUAUAUGGAAGAACACCAGUGGCGAAAGCGGCUCUCUGGUCUGUAACUGACGCUGAGGUUCGAAAGCGUGGGUAGCAAACAGG
rnacentral:rRNA from 1 species